UAACAAAGAGCAACAUUUUCUCUAACACAAAAUGUAAGAGUACAGAAGGCAGGGGCACCACCUUCUUUUAAAUUAUCCCUAAUGAUCAUUUCCUAGGUGAAAGGAAAGUUGAAUGUGGCAAAAAGUGUUGGAAGGAGCUGAUGUCAAAACUCUGGUUUUGUAGACUGUGUCUGCUGAAGAAAGAAGGAAACUGAGGAUUGGACUAUGCGCAGAAGUGUUUGUAGUGUCUACCAUUCCUUGCAGCAUUCUUCACAAUAGCAAGGAUAUGGAAUCAACCCAAGUGCCUAUCAAUGGUGGAUUGGAUAAAGAAAAUGUGGAAGAUAUAUACACCAUGGAAUACUAUGCAGCCAUAAAAAAGAACAAAAGCAUAGCCUGUGCAACAGUGGAAAUGGAGCUAGAAGUCAUUGACCUAAGCAAAUUAAUACAGAAACAGAAAACAAAAUACCUCAUGUUCUCAUUUAAAAGUGGGAGAUAAACAUUGGGUACACACAAAUACAAAGAUGGAAACAAUAAGCACUGGGGAUUCCAAAAGUGGGGAAAAGGAGGGAGAGAGGGUUGAAAAACUAUGUAUCAGGUACUGUUUGCUACUUGGGUGAUGAGAUUAUUAGAAACUCAAAGCUCAGAAUCAUGCAAUGUAUUCAUUUAGCAAACCUACACACGUACCCACUGAAUCUAAAAUAAAAUAAAGACAGGAUUUUGAAUGUUCUUAAGACAAAUAAGUAAUAAAUGUUUGAGGUGACAGAUAUAAUUACCCUGAUUUAAUUAUUACCCAAUGUACGCAUGCAUUGAAACAUUCUAUUUUACCCCAUACGUAUGUAAAAUUAUGUAUCAAUUAAAAAUUUUUUAAGAGGAAAAAAAUAGCAACUCUUCUGCC
rnacentral:lncRNA from 1 species